AUUUCCAGUUGUAGGGGGUGGGAAUCCGAAAGGGGUAGUGAAGAGGGCAAUCUUGGGCCCUUAGGCCUAAGCUGAACGCUGCGAACUCUACUGAACUCAGGAUGAAGCUCCAUACGCGAAUACGCUUCAACUUUGCCGCUUCUUCCACCUGUAUCGUCUUCCCCGAUCUUGUGGACUAAAACGUACGCAGCUAUGAACCAUUUCGUAUUCGGAAUAAGCGUGCGUCCAAGAAAUCUUCUGAAGGAAGAAACUGACAUGAAACCGAUGCGAACGAAACGAAUAAUCGUGGAUUUUAAGACACCUCCAACAAUCGUGUUAGAUGUUCAAACUCCGAAUUUGAACCAACUUCAAAUGCGCAGCAGCGAAAUUAAGAAAAUGACAUAAGAAGAUGGUGAGGAACUUACCAGAUUCAGAUCACGACGUAGUGGCGAAACAGAGUUCUAUGAACCUGAUGCAGAGGAUGGAGUUUGGUGGAGGAGGCUGAGAAGUUAUGCAGAACUUGAGCUAGAUGAGCUUAGUGAAGAGAGAGCUUGCAGAGAACUUGAGAUUUGUGCAGAGCUAUGAACUGGAUGUCGAGAAUGGGGCAGAAAAUGAGAUUCCGAACUUGGUGAAGAAUGAGCUAGCCCCCAAGAUUGAUCUUGGUAAGUGCUUUUAUAAACUUCUGACCCUGAUGAUUCUCUCUCUCUCACUAUCAUUAUCUUCAAAUAUGACAAACAACACAUCAAGCAACAAUAAUCACAUACAACAACUUACCAUCAUUCCAACAACUUAAUAUAACAAAAAACCGCAAAGUAAGAUGAAUAAGAAUAAUAAUAAGAAGAAGAAUAAGAGAGAGGAGGAAUCAGGUCGUUGGAAAAAAAAACUCCUGCCAUAAACGCGAAAUCGCCACCCACUGCACUUGUCUCCGGUUGCCAUCACACCCCAUUUGCUAAUCAGAUCCAAGUUGCAAGGAUGGGUCUUGACGAACACCAUAACAUGCCGCAAUGACAUGGAAACAAGGCAUACGGAAGGUUUGAAACUCUCCGCAAUCGCACCAAUAUUUAUGAAUUUCCACCAGGUAUUAUCUCAUUAGUCAGUCCUCAUUGUGAUCCUCUGCAUCAUCAACAAGGAAGUUAUAAUCAUGACAAUUAAAUCCUGUGACGUGAUGUGAGAUCGCUUUAAUAGUUUCCUCCUUAAAAAAUUUCAUCCAGUUUUCACUGAAUAAUUUUCCUAAUUCUAACACCGCACUCCAUUUUUUACCUCUGGUAGCGAAUAUUGAUCCCAACCUAUAAUAGGUUUCUCUCACUAACACAUUAAUGAGUAGGUUUCUAGUUCCCUUAAAGACGUCAUUCAUGGAUUCCAUAACUUGUGGUAGUACAUUAAUGAUGGUUCGUUUGAACCAUAACUUGCAUUCGCAACUUUUUUCGAAGAUUUAUGCAUUUGAUUUCCCUCAUGAAAUGUUGUGCAAUGUGUCUUAUGAAGUAUACAUCCACAUAAGAAGGAUUUUGCCAACCAUUAGCAGGAUUAUUAUAAGAGCUCUCAAUAGAUGCAUGUCUAUCUAAAAUCAAGCAUAUAUUGGGUUAUAGAUCGACGUGUGUUCUGAGAUUUUUUAGAAAGAAACUUCAAUCGCCACCAGUCUCACCUUCAACUAAAGCAAAGGUAAUUGGGAAGAUAUUAUUUUUGUCUUGUGCAAUUUCCAUUAGUUUGCUCAUUAUAAUUUACCAUAAAUACUUAUUUGUAUCUUAAUACUUAUUUUUGUUAGAAUCCUCGCAGUUUUUGCACUCAUGUCCAUGGUUAUGUUGCACAUGACGAAUUAAUUGAACCAUAUUUGGAGCGUGCUGAAUUUGGCCAUCUCAUCAAAUUUAAGACAUAUGUCGUUGAUACAAAGUUUAUUCUUACUCUUUAAUAAAAGUGGAGACUUAAGACACACACACAAUCCAUCUUCUGACUGUUGAAUGUACUGUCACACUAGAGAACGUAUAAAAGUUGUUGGGUUUACCAAUUAACGGUAAGGUGAUAAAAUGGUCCCACAGAUAUUGAUGAAAAUAUAUCAUAGCAAAUUUUGGGUAAAGGCUUAACAUUAACCGAUAUGA